rnacentral:tRNA from 2 species
CGGGAAGUAGCUCAGCUUGGUAGAGCGCCUGGUUUGGGACCAGGAGGUCGCAAGUUCGAAUCUUGUCUUCCCGA